rnacentral:rRNA from 1 species
GAUGAACGCUGACAGAAUGCUUAACACAUGCAAGUCUUUGGCGAAGCUGUGCUUGCACAGCCUAGCCAAGGCGGACGGGUGAGUAACGCGUAAGGAACUUGCCCUGCAGUCAGGGAUAACAGACGGAAACGACUGAUAAGACCUGGUAAAGUCAGGCGGACUCAUGUCCAGCCUGAUGAAAAGAGAUGCUGCAGGAGAGCCUUGCGUCCUAUUAGCUUGUUGGUGGGGUAACGGCCCACCAAGGCGAUGAUAGGUAGCCGGCCUGAGAGGGUGGACGGCCACAAGGGGACUGAGAUACGGCCCUUACUCCUACGGGAGGCAGCAGUGGGGAAUAUUGGACAAUGGGGGCAACACUGAUCCAGCAAUUCUGUGUGCACGAUGAAGGUUUUCGGAUUGUAAAGUGCUUUCAGCAGGGAAGAAAAAAAUGACGGUACCUGCAGAAGAAGCGACGGCUAAAUACGUG